AAAAGCUGAUCCAGAAUGGAGAAUUGUACUCUUAAGAUACUUCAACCCUGUUGGAGCUCAUGAGAGUGGUCAGAUUGGUGAAGAUCCCAAAGGUAUUCCAAAUAAUCUGAUGCCUUAUAUCCAGCAAGUUGCUGUGGGAAGACUGCCAGAGUUGAAUGUCUAUGGUUAUGAUUAUCCAACAAAAGAUGGUAGUGCGGUUCGAGAUUACAUUCAUGUCAUGGAUUUGGCUGAUGGUCAUCUAGCAGCACUUCAGAAGCUAUUUGCUACAAAUGAUAUCGGUUGCAUCGCUUACAACCUGGGAACUGGAUGUGG
rnacentral:misc_RNA from 1 species